rnacentral:rRNA from 1 species
AUUGAACGCUGGCGGCAUGCCUUACACAUGCAAGUCGAACGGCAGCACGGGAGCAAUCCUGGUGGCGAGUGGCGAACGGGUGAGUAAUAUAUCGGAACGUGCCCAGUCGUGGGGAUAACGUAGCGAAAGCUACGCUAAUACCGCAUACGAUCUAUGGAUGAAAGCGGGGGAUCGCAAGACCUCGCGCGAUUGGAGCGGCCGAUAUCAGAUUAGGUAGUUGGUGAGGUAAUGGCUCACCAAGGCGACGAUCCGGUAACUGGUCUGAGAGGAUGAUCAGUCACACUGGAACUGAGA